ensembl:lncRNA
UGUGCACGUAGGACACCAUCAUGCUUUCGGGGUGCGUGUCUUCAAAUUCCACAAUAAUUAUUUAGUUGUGGACACGACAUCACCGCACUCCCUCUCUUGCUCUUGGUCCUCAUUUUUACAUCAUCAUGAUCACCCACCCAUAUGCCACUGAGUCUGCUGUCCUGCACCUGAUGGUCAACGUACUGAAUACGCCCCAGACAGACAUGGAGGGGGAGGCCUACAAAACAGUUGUCAGUCUCAGUGGAGGGAGGAAUGCCUUGGACAUCAGCAGUGGUCACCAUCUGGUCAAUCGUGGUGGACUGGUCAAGUUCAGUGUUCCCUCUAAACUGGGUGCGCAGUAGCCCGAGACUGCCGUGCAGGGAGAAGAAAUAUUAGCCCAAAGAGAGAGAACUUCACUCAACUUUCUAGAGCAGUGGUCACCAUCCGGUCAAUCGCAGUAGACUGGUCAAGUUCAGUGUUCCCUCUAAACUGGGUGCGCAGUAGCCCGAGACUGCCGUGCAGGGAGAAGAAAUAUUAGCCCAAAGAGAGAGAACUUCACUCAACUUUCU